CCCCUGCUCCCACCUCCAAGCAUGGAGGAGGAGGUGUGCUGGUGACACUGUCGGGGAUUUAUUCAAAAUUGAAGGCACACUGAAACAGCAUGGCUACCACAGCAUCCUGCAGCGACACACUGUCCCAUCCAGUUUGCUUUUAGUUGGACCAUGAUUUAUUUUUCAACAGGACAGUGACCCCAAACACACCUUCAGGCUGUGUAAGGGCUAUUUGACUGAGAAGGAGAGUGAUGGAGUCCUGUCUCCGCAGUCAUGAGAUGGUUUGGGAUGAGAUGGACCACAGAGUGAAGGCAAAAGGGGCCAACAAGUGGCUCAGCAUCUCAAGCUCAGCAUCUCUGGGAACUCCAUUUCAGGUGACGACCUCAUGAAGCCCAUUGAGAGAAUCCCAAGAGUGUGCAAAGCAGUAAUCGAAGCAAAGGAUGGCUAUUUUGGAGAAAAUAUAAAACACAUUUUGGGUUAUUUCACACUUUUUUUUAAUUACAUAUUUCCCAGAUUUUGUAGCUGCUGCUUUACCUAACGAAGUAGAGAUGGCUUACCGUGACAAGAAAAUGUAGCUCAGGCAAGACUGGAUGAGCACCGUAUUAGGCGAUCACUGGAACAGCAGCACACAGAACUGUAAACAGAUCUUUAAAUCCGAAAGUAACAAGUUUAAGAAAUGCUUUAACCAUACUGGAGGCACGUCAGAAAAAAUGUUUUUCCUGGCUUGAUGUCAAACAGUUGUAGCUAUACAGGUUUUUACAGAAGCACAAAGUGACAAUCUGCGCACAUAUUAAAGAAUACUUUCUCUAUUUUAAUCUCUAAUGGAUGAGUGCUCUGGGAUAUUUUACUCCUUUACUCUACUAGUCUCUAGGUUGUCCACGUAGUUCAGCAGAGGGAUGGUUGUGAAUGGGAUGAUGACCGGGGACAUUAUUGGUUAUUAACACUACGGUUAUGAUGGAGAAGACUUUAUAUCUUUGGACCUGAAGACUCUAACAUGGAUUACUCCAGUGCCACAGACUGUUGUCACAAACCCACAUAGCAAACAGGUCUGGCCCAGAUUUUUUUCAGAUUUGCCAGUAGUUAUUAACCCACUAAACACACAAUAUUGAACAAUGAAAUCCUAUCUUGAUCAUAUAAACACAAAUCUUUUAUUUUCAUCCUGUCAGUCUCUCUGUAUCGCCAGUUCUUUCCUCAGUGGCUCUCCUCCAGAAGACUCCUUCCUCUCCAGUGAGCUGCCACACUACAGUUUUCUAGCCGAACAGGGUCGUGAUGUUUUGGAGGAAAGAUGGAGAAGGAGAGAUCAUCACGAACCAUGACGGGACCUUCCAGACGAGUGUCGAUCUGAAUGUUUCAUCAGUCACAGCUGAAGACUGGAGGAGAUAAAACUGUGUUCCAGCUCUCUAAUGACAGCAUCAUCACCAAACCUGACAAAGGAAUGAUCAGAACAAACCGAGCUCUUCACGACACAACUGAAGGCAAAUGGACACUAUAGCCUGUAUGCCAAUAAUUAAUAGAUGCUGAGAUACAAACUGUGUACACUUCUUGUUAAACAACUUUCAUAGUUUAUUUGUCAAACUUACAUGUCGUGUUUGGAUAUUAUAUAUCUACUUUUUAGCUUUUUUAUGGACAUCUUAUCACCACUCACACAUCACAAACACAAUCUUCUAAUAUCUGUUUACGUCCCACCGUCAUCUUUGAAGAAGGAAACUGUAAAUGGUUAAAGAGUCAGCAUUCAUCUGUAAUGAGUCAUUCACAUGUGAACAAUGACUCAGUGGGGAUGUUUCCGUCGGCUGCCUCUGGCUUUAUUCCAGCUUUGCUACAUUUUUAAAACAGCAUCCAUUUGUUUUCUAUUGAACAACGACAUCUACAGAUUUUUUUGAAAUUUACUUCAAACGUGUAAUUUUCACUUUUGGACUUUUGGAGUCACUGUUUUCUGAUGUUUAGGUACACUGAAAUUUUAAACUUGCUGUGUGGAUUUCUUAUACUUCUUUUUUACUGACUUCCUGAUUGUAUUUUUAAAUCUUAUCUUGUUCUAAUAUGAUACAUAAUCAACUGGUGAAAAUAGAUGUCAUGAACAGAAACACAUACACACUAAAUGUGUGAGGAUGAAUGAAACCUGUAACAAACGCAUGCAUACCAACAGUUUUCAUUUCGGUGAAUCCUCAGGCUCAGUGUGUGUUUUUCCAUGUUACCACCAGAGGGCAACACAAAUCGACAUCUCUGCCAUAAGGAAAGUCCAAACAGAGGAAACAGGCUGUCAGUGUGUUUCCACACCUCUGGCUUUUCAGAGGGUUUAUUUUUUUAAGGAAAAUGUUAAAUUUGGCAGUGAGAUUAUACCUAUCAGAGGAAAGGUAGCUUCAGUCUUGUCAUUGUCAGAAUAAUGAUCCAGUAAAAUAAUAAGCAGUUAUUCAUAUACAGUGGCUUUCAAAAGUAUUCGGCCCCCUUGAACUUUUCCACAUUUUGUCACAUUACAGCCACAAACAUGAAUCAAUUUUAUUGAAAGACCAAUACAAAGUGGUGUACACGUGAGAAGUGGAACGAAAAUCAUACAUGAUUCCAAACAUUUUUUACAAAUAAAUAACUGCAAAGUUCAAAAGUUCAGAUCAACACUCAUCUGAAAGUUAGGUUUCAAAAGCAGUAAUGAUUUGACAAACAUUGCUAGAUUCGAUUCACUCAAGAAUGCAUUUGUGUACAAAAGUCCUCAUUGCUAUUUGAAAAGGUUGGAAGUCACAAACAUGCAUUAUCAUGUGUGUUAUAGUGUAUCAUCAUAAUACAACUCAAUUGGCACUUGGUGGUCAAAACAGAAGCUCUUGUUAUCUUCUUUGUAUAAUUAUGACUGGAUUCUUUGUAAAGUUACAUUCAGUGCCAUCCUGCAUUAAUAAGAGUGCGAUUUCACCAUGUUGAACUGCUCUGGUCUAAAAACAAAGGGUGCAAAUAUUUUCUAACUUCAUGCAUAAUUUUAUGUAAAUGGCAAUAAUUCAACAGUGACCCACAGGUUCUUGCAAACUGGUAAUUAUUUUAAAAGGAUUAAUCUAGAUAAAAGUAUAAACUUAAAUAUAGUGUUACAUCUUUAGUACUUAGAAACAACUUCCUUGAUGCUCCCCGAAGGGAGGGAGUAUGUAAUCUGUUCUGUUUGUCUGUCUGGUCACACCAUAUGUGAAAAUCAGUAAAAACUUUAUAUUACGCACAAUUUUGAUGGAUCGUGUUCAUGUUAUCCCUGAAAACAGGGGGAAAGAAUCACGGGAGUGAUUUUGACUUGCUUCUCUCAUGCAGUUGUUUAUUGCAAUGAAAAUGAACAUAAAUAUUUCACAUCCUGUACUGCUCAAUGUCACAGAGUGGAAGGAAAAGCUAAAUAAUAAACCAAAAUACUAAAGUGGUUACUAAACAUAUAUCGGAACAUGUUUCCUCACCAAAUGGAUAAUAAUAGCAACAUUUCUAGCUCCUGCCGUUAGCUCAAUGGCCGUUAUACAAUACAAAACUGAGGCUCAAAACUGCCGUGACUAUGUGCACAAAACAAACUGUAAUGCUUCUAAAGCUUACAAAACAAUGAAGAGUUACAUCUUGAUGCAUGCUCAAUCAUCCAGCAAAUCCAGCAGCAGCAAUGAGAAUGAGAACAACAAAAACAACGACUGCAGCGAUGGUGAUGAACAGCAUGUCAGAGGACGUCUCUGCUCAGUAAAGAAAA